AUCAACUUUCGAUGGUAGGAUAGAGGCCUACCAUGGUGGUAACGGGUAACGGGGUGUUAGGGCACGACACCGGAGAGGGAGCCUGAGAAACGGCUACCACAUCCAAGGAUGGCAGCAGGCGCGCAAAUUACCCAAUCCCGACACGGGGAGGUAGUGACAAUAAAUAACAAUACGGGGUCCUUUCGGGUUUCGUAAUUGGAAUGAGUACAAUUUAAAUCUCUUAACGAGGAACAAUUGGAGGGCAAGUCUGGUGCCAGCAGCCGCGGUAAUUCCAGCUCCAAUAGCGUAUAUUAAAGUUGUUGCAGUUAAAAAGCUCGUAGUUGAAUUUCGGGAUUAGUACGUUGGUCGUGCCUUCGGUACGUACUGGUGUUACUGGUUCCUACCUUCUGACGAACCAUCAUGUCAUUAAUUUGGUGUGGCGGGGAAUCAGGACUGUUACUUUGAAAAAAUUAGAGUGUUUAAAGCAGGCUCGCGCUUGAAUACAUUAGCAUGGAAUAAUGAAAUAGGACGUUGACCCUAUUUUGUUGGUUUCUAGGAUUGACGUAAUGAUUAAUAGGGAUAGUUGGGGGCAUUAGUAUUCAAUUGUCAGAGGUGAAAUUCUUGGAUUUAUUGAAGACUAACUACUGCGAAAGCAUUUGCCAAGGAUGUUUUCAUUAAUCAAGAACGAAAGUUAGGGGAUCGAAGACGAUCAGAUACCGUCGUAGUCUUAACCAUAAACUAUGCCGACUAGGGAUCGGAUGAUGUUAUUUUUAAUGACUCAUUCGGCGCCUUACGGGAAACCAAAGUGUUUGGGUUC
rnacentral:rRNA from 1 species